rnacentral:rRNA from 1 species
GAUGAACGCUGGCGGCGUGCCUAAUACAUGCAAGUAGAACGCUGAAGGAAGGAGCUUGCUCUUUCCGGAUGAGAUGCGAACGGGUGAGUAACGCGUAGGUAACCUGCCUGGUAGCGGGGGAUAACUAUUGGAAACGAUAGUUAAUACCGCAUAACAGUAGAUGUUGCAUGACAACUAAUUGAAAGGGGCAAUUGCUCCACUACCAGAUGGACCUGCGUUGUAUUAGCUAGUUGGUGAGGUAACGGCUCACCAAGGCGACGAUACAUAGCCGACCUGAGAGGGUGAUCGGCCGCACUGGGACUGCGACGCGGCCCUUACUCCUACGGGAGGCAGCAGUAGGGUACCUUCGGCAAUGGACGGAAGUCUGACCGAGCGACGCCGCGUGAGUUAAGAAGGUUCUCGGAUCGUAAAGCUCUGUUGUAAGUGAAGAACGAGUGUGAGAGUGGAAAGUUCACACUGUGACGGUAUCUUACCAGAAAGGGACGGCUAACUACGUG